GGCGGAGGGUGGAGAUUUGGGUUGGAAUGUGAGCCGGGGUGAGGCCACGUCUCAUUAUCAAGUCAGCGCACUCAUUGAUUGACAAUCACUCCACUUCAAUGUAUAUGCCAAAUAUAUAUGGCAUGUUCAUACACAUCCUCAAAAUGAGCACAGCUCCGUAUGUUUAAAUGGGCCUGGCAGCUGUGUUUACCUGUGCCCCCUUCUUAUGUCCUAUUGACAGCUCUGCCAUUGCAAUGGUCCUGAUGCUACUGAAUGGAGUUGCAGGUGGUAUUCUACAGAGAUGACCAGAAAAGGAGAAAAUACAACCCAGCUGGAAAUAAGCAAAUUGAAGCAUAAGGCUGGAGAGUAGUGUCAGGAUCCAGGUGUUCUCUCAAUAACAGUGAUGAUGUCACUUAUGAGAUCCAGAUUAAGGAUUCUUGGGGCUCUAAAUGCCAAGAACACUUGGAACUCUGAAGCAUCCAGUCGGUCUCUGCUCCUGUUCCUCUCUGCAAUGCCAGGAAGCCAAGAGUUCCCCUGGUGCUAUGG